GACGAACGCUGGCGGCGUGCUUAACACAUGCAAGUCGAACGGAAAGGCCCUGCUUUUGUGGGGUGCUCGAGUGGCGAACGGGUGAGUAACACGUGAGUAACCUGCCCUUGACUUUGGGAUAACUUCAGGAAACUGGGGCUAAUACCGGAUAGGAGCUCCUGCUGCAUGGUGGGGGUUGGAAAGUUUCGGCGGUUGGGGAUGGACUCGCGGCUUAUCAGCUUGUUGGUGGGGUAGUGGCUUACCAAGGCUUUGACGGGUAGCCGGCCUGAGAGGGUGACCGGCCACAUUGGGACUGAGAUACGGCCCAGACUCCUACGGGAGGCAGCAGUGAGGAAUAUUGCACGAUGGGCGGAAGCCUGAUGCAGCAACGCCGCGUGCGGGAUGACGGCCUUCGGGUUGUAAACCGCUUUCGCCUGUGACGAAGCGUGAGUGACGGUAAUGGGUAAAGAAGCACCGGCUAACUACGUG
rnacentral:rRNA from 1 species